UUGAUGACAAGGUAAAGUCAGCAUGGAGAACACUGUACAGGGGACUGGUGAUAUGUAAUGGAGGGUGUUGAUGACAAGGUAAAGCCAGCAUGGAGAACACUGUACAGGGGACUGGUGAUAUGUAAUGGAGGGUGUUGAUGACAAGGUGAAGCCAUCAUGGAGAACACUGUACAAGCCACCGUUACUAAAGGGGACUGGUUAUAUGUAAUGGAGGGUGUUGAUGACAAGGUGAAGCCAUCAUGGAGAGCACGGUACAAGCCACCGUUACUAAAGGGGACUGGUGAUAUGUAAUGGAGGGUGUUGAUGACAAGGUGAAGCCAUCAUGGAGAGCACGGUACAAGCCACCGUUACUAAAGGGGACUGGUGAUAUGUAAUGGAGGGUGUUGAUGACAAGGUGAAGCCAUCAUGGAGAGCACGGUACAAGCCACCGUUACUAAAGGGGACUGGUGAUAUGUAAUGGAGGGUGUUGAUGACAAGGUGAAGCCAUCAUGGAGAGCACGGUACAAGCCACCGUUACUAAAGGGGACUAGUGAUAUGUAAUGGAGGGUGUUGAUGACAAG